GACGAACGCUGGCGGCGUGCUUAACACAUGCAAGUCGAACGAAGUGGCGAACGGGUGAGUAACGCGUAAUCAACCUGCCCUUCAGAGGGGGACAACAGUUGGAAACGACUGCUAAUACCGCAUACCUCGGGAGGGGAUUGCUUCUGAUUAGCUAGUUGGCGGGGUAACGGCCCACCAAGGCGAUGAUCAGUCGCCGGUCUGAUAGGAUGACCGGCCACAUUGGGACUGAGACACGGCCCAGACUCAUACGGGAGGCAGCAGUGGGGAAUCUUCCGCAAUGGACGAAAGUCUGACGAAGCAACGCCGCGUGAGUGAUGACGGCCUUCGGGUGGUAAAGCUCUGUUAAUCGGGACGCGGUACCGGAAUAGAAAGCCACGGCUAACUACGUGCCAGCAGCCGCGGUAAUUC
rnacentral:rRNA from 1 species